rnacentral:rRNA from 1 species
CCUACGGGUGGCAGCAGUGAGGAAUAUUGGUCAAUGGUCGGGAGACUGAACCAGCCAAGCCGCGUGAGGGAUGAAGGUACAGAGUAUCGUAACCCUCUUUUGUUAGGGAACAAAGGCGGGGACGUGUCUUCGGAUGAGUGUACCUGAAGAAAAAGCAUCGGCUAACUCCGUGCCAGCAGCCGCGGUAAUACGGAGGAUGCGUGCGUUAUCCGGAUUUAUUGGGUUUAAAGGGUGGGUAGGCGGUCUGUUAAGUCAGCGGUCAAAGCCCGGGGCUCAACCCCGUCGAGCCGUUGAAACUGGCGGUCUUGAGUGGGAGAGAAGUAUGCGGAAUGCGCGGUGUAGCGGUGAAAUGCAUAGAUAUCACGCAGAACUCCGAUUGCGAAGGCAGCAUGCCGGCUCCAAACUGACGCUGAGGCACGAAAGCGUGGGUAUCGAACAGGAUUAGAUACCCGAGUAGUC